rnacentral:rRNA from 1 species
AUGGAUCUCCCCAGCGGCAACGCCAACGCUAACGGCAUGUGCCUCCCCUACAACCUACUCCGGGACGUCCUCCGCCGCCUGCCGCCCCGGACCCUAGCCCUGUGCCGGGCGACCUGCCGCGCGUGGCGCGCCAUCAUCGACGACCACCACCUCCUACAGCCCGUCUACACGUACUUCCCAGGCGUCUUCAAGGAUCGUCUUCUUCGAUGCUGGGACGAUGGGCCCUCCUUCAUCCUCCCGCCGGACAUGGUGCUAGACCCACUCACCCGGAGAGUGCAUCGUAAAUCAGACGACACGUGA